CCGCCGCCAGCUUCACAUGUGUGCCGCGCUUACAUGUUUAUCGUGUAUUGUGUGCGUUUAUUGCGUGCUUAUCGUACGCGACAUUCGUCGACUGGGCAUUUUCCGCGUGUUGGGGCGUUCUCCUGCCUUGAUCCAGUGGCGGAUGAUGGUCGUUGUUCGUUGCCACUCAACACAGCCUCACGGGACGCACAGCUUUGUGUCCGCGCUCAAAAGUGCUUUCUUGCUUCGUUCAUCGAUUACUCACGUUGAUCGAGUGAUCGAGUGUACUUCCGAAGACAAUCCGCGUCCGAGUGUUUUGACAAGCGGCGACCGCGGUUCCACAGGAGCGGAAGCUUGAGCCUUUUGACGAGCGACUGUGAAGAGUGCCAAUGCCAAACUUGGGAACCGUCGUGUUGGCACAGCGAGGAUGAUCAACAGAUACCCGAUAGGCAGCGAUGAGAGCUGUUCAUGGCACCGACACAGAGGACAGAUUGCAGUACAAGAUAGGAGCAUACUUCCUGCAAGCCCGGGCAAGCCAUAAUGAGUGGUUUCAAAUACAGCAACUGUACCACCACAACAGUGCAGCACAGGAGAGCCUAUCGUCAGUGCCGCGUCGAGAAAUUAAAUAAAAAGCACUUACUCCUG